rnacentral:tRNA from 1 species
GAGGAUGUGGCUCAGUGGUAGAGUUCUUGCCUUCCAUGCAUAAGGCCCUGGGUUUAAUUCCCAGCACCACA